UGGUAGUGAACUGUUGACUAAAAUUAAGGAAGAAAUUAGUGCCGAUUGUGCCGAUUCUCUGUAAUUGAACGAUGUAAUUGGGGUUUAUUGAAGCUGCUGAAAUUGGGUUGAGCUCGAAUAUCCCCAUGAGCUAUACGAUUGAAUUAAAGUUGUUGGUCUUGGAUGUGAACACAGGGAGACUUCCUUGGAACUGAAAUUGAGUUCGAUUAGACAUUUGGGAGGGGUUUUACUUGAAUUUGUAACGAUCAUCAGUACCAAUCAAUUGGAUAGAAUGGGCUAAUGUUUUGAGAUGAUACCUAUCAUUGGCAAGGAGAAAUUUUGGUGAUUGAUUUUGUAAUGAAUUCGGAAUUUGAAACCAAGGGUUUCAUCUAAUAGAGGUUUGAUUUACAGGAUAUAUAUUUAUGAGGUCGAAAGUUCAAUUGAUUUUGAUAAUUAGUGUUUUAGUUUGUGCUUUUGGAGGCAAAGCAGAAUCGGGAAGAAGAAGAUGAUGAAGAGGAAUAAAAGAAGAGCUUACAUAUCUGUCCUUAUGAGUUUGGGACCUUCGAGCCUCAUAAGUCCCUGGAUGAAGUGUUGCUGAGCAUUACAGUCGGGGACACCUGUUGCAACUUCGAAUCCAUGAACUGGCUUAAUGGAUUGAUCUCACAUAACACAUUAAAGAAGGAGACUUGAAUCAACCUGGUACCGUCAAUUGGCCCAUUGGAUUGAGUUUUUCUGCUCUCUUGUGAUCACUCAUUGUGUACCGAAUUCCCUCAUGAUCGAGAUACCUAUCAUUGGCAAGGAGAGAUUUUGGUGAUUGAUUUUGUAAUGAAUUCGGAAUUUGAAACCAAGGGUUUCAUCUACUAGAGGUUUGAUUUACAAGAUAUAUAUUUAUGAGGUCGAAAGUUCAAUUGAUUUUGAUAAUUAGUGUUUUAGUUUGUGCUUUUGGAGGCAAAGCAGAAUCGGGAAGAAGAAGAUGAUGAAGAGGAAUAAAAGAAGAGCUUACAUAUCUGUCCUUAUAAGUUUGGGACCUUCGAGCCUCAUAAGUCCCUGGAUGAAGUGUUGCUGAGCAUUACAGUCGAGGACACCUGUUGCAACUUCGAAUCCAUGAACUGGCUUAAUGGAUUGAUCUAACAUAACACAUUAAUGAAGGAGACUUGAAUCAACCUGGUACCGUCAAUUGGCCCACUGGAUUGAGUUUUUCUGCUCUCUGGUGAUCACUCAUUGUGUACCGAAUUCCCUCAUGAUCAAGGUAUAUAUAAAUAUAUUUAAAAUUUCAGUCCAUUUCGAGUUCGAUGAGUAACUAUUCAACUUUGAAUUUUUUUUUCUCCCAACUUUUACAAGGUAACAGCUUCCUCAAAUUUAGUAUGUUUAUAUUUAGAAGGUAACAACUUCCUCAAAUUUAUUAUGUUUAUAUUUCUGGAUGUGCUAUCUGAAGCCUUAAAUUUAUAAGGAAUCUACGCUCAAUUGUUAUUUUGUUGAGCUUUGAAUUUGCAUGGAAUCUAUGUGCAUUGUUAUUUCAUAAAUACUGGAAAAAAAUCUCUUAUCGUUUGUCUGCCUUAUAUCGUUUGCCUGUCUUAUAAUUUGUGUAUUUUAUGUAUCCAAACGAAUUUUUGCUGCAUAUUCUUAUCAAACUAUUUGUACUCCUUUCUUAGUAAGGUCUUUUGUUUGUUUUUGCGUGUUCUGCUUUGUAUUGCUAUGAUGAUACUUAAUAUAUUUUUCUUUCUGAGUUGGUAUUGUUUUUGUGAUUUCAGCGAUGAAGAACUCACUUGGCCUUGAUAUUCAUAACCUAAACAACUGGGGAAAAUUCAGGACACCUCAAUACACUGAUUUGGCCUUUGAAAUGAUAAUUGAUUAAACAUAUUUUCUCUCUUCGUAUCAAUAGAUAUCAUGUGAUACCAAUGAACUAAUACCUAGCGUAACUAAUGCACAGAGCCUCAACUCUGUCGCACCAUAUGCUCACUAAUAUUGGCAAAUGCUAAUCCAUGUUUAUAAUUAUUUGCAGUGGAGACAAACUGAUAAUAUCCGUCUGGUGACUGUUUUUUGCAAGUCGGUAGUAAUGUUGCAGAACAUUCAACAGUUGUACGUAGUCACAAUGUGCUCUAACUUCGUAAAGAAAUACCAAGGUAACUAAUGGAUUGUCGUGGGUUAAAUUUUUUCUUAUCCGUGCUAGGUUGAUAUCAAGCAGAUACUAAUCUUGAUAAAAAAAAUGGCGAGGAAGUACUCCCUGUCUUCCACUAAUGGUACGAAAGCCUAUCCGUACCUGUUAACCUUAACUACAAAGUUAGGAUAAUGAUCCCUGCCGAGAAAGGAAAAUCAGAAAAUCAUAUUUUGAAACUGUAGAAAGUGUUACUCGAGAGACCAUCUGCGAGCUCCUGUUGAGUGGAGUGAAUAUAAGUGAUAACAUGGUGUAAGAAACGGGUUAUAGGAUUUGGAAGCUAAACAAGUAUAGAAGCUCAUGUUGAGUGCAUCCAUAACACCUAUGUUCCUUGAUGUGUAUCUUAAGUAAGGUAGUAGAUUUUCAUUUCACUGUGUUCGUUAUUUUAUUUUCACUGUAUUCCAUGAUUUGUUCAAAGCUACUUGGGAUAUAGUUACCGUCCCGUUAAUAAUUGGUUUCCUAACGCUGACACUAAUUGUGUAUGAAACGAUUUCUUCUUCUAACUCUGUUUUUGUAAAUACAGUGUGUCCUAACUCUUAACUUUGCGACAUCUCUUCUGCGUUCGAUUUUUUUAUUGAUUCACGUAUUAUAGAUUUUUUCGAGGAAGAUUGGCUUAUCGGUUUACCAAUAUGAGGUACGUAUUGAUAUUUUUUUGAUUGAUUUCUCUUCUUUUCGUUUAAACAUUCUUUUCAAAUAAUGGCAUCUACCAUUAAAAACAAAAGAUAUGAUUCGAGAGAUAUAAUUUUCCUUCCUCUUGGGUUCCCAAUGGUACUCCUCUUUCAUGCAAAACUCAUGGUUUGUUGUAGUUGUUGGCUACCAUCGGUUUUGGUGGUAUGUGACAAUAAUUAGGAGAAAAUUUCAGAGGUUAGGACAAGCAUGGAAUAGGUAACACGAGUUUGAAGAAUUCUGGGUUAUUCUUUGACCGAGAGAAUAGGGAAGAAAUGUGAUCUCGCUGCUGUCUUUUUACGUGAUUGAUGAAUGAGAUAUCGAGCAUUCAGAAUUCUUUGUUGAAAGAGAACAACAAGACCACCAGUUGAAAGAGGCACAAAAGUGUUCAAAAUAACGCAUGAACGAUCACCAGCUUAGUUCCACCGUGUGGCUGCCAUGGGUUAAAGAAUUUGAAGUGGAGAAGGACUGAAAAUCGAGUAGUAUUUGCUGAUUUGGGUUGAUGGGAUGAUUAUAUGAUAUCAAUUCACGGUGCUAAUGGAUUAACAUAGGAUUAGACACAUGGGUUCAAAUUAUAAAUGGCUUGCCGAGAAAUCAACCUGUCAUUGAUAUUGAAUGCAGAAGAUUAAUCACAACUAACAAAAAGGCUGGAAGUAGAGCAAUGAUACGGUAUAUACGAUCACACUAAUUUCUCUAUUGCAUCUAUUAACAAUUUUUUUAAAAGCAGACGUACCAGUUAGAAAAGACGAAUAGAAACAUGAAAGGUGGGUAUUGUAAUUCAGCACAUCCCGGUCUGCAAGUAGAGCAGUUUGGGUAGAACCAAUUGAACUGCCAGCACAGAUUUCUUUAUAUGGUCAGAUUCUAUGAACUAUGAACAGAUUAAUUUUGAGGUUUGAUUAACUAUGAACUGGGAAUCUGCAGUUCCUUCAUGAUGCCUCCAUUCAGGUGUCUAGGGGAUUUGUUAGUUUUUCCGUUUGUAAUUUGAUUAAUUAAUUUCAAGCAUGUCUUCUUCUUCCUCUUACAAGCAGCUAUCGAUUGAAAAAAGAACACAGUACUGGUGUGUUCUUUUAGGGACAAGCAGGAAGGGAUAUUAUAUUCAUCCAUUCAUUCCUCAGCUGAUAUAUUUGUGUUUCUAAAGAAUAAUGUUCUGAAAGAAGGUGGUUUCUACCAUUGGCGUUGCGAUUCUCUUGCUACGGUAAGGGUUAGAUUCAGGAUUUUUGUCUUGGGGUGCACAAAAAACAAGUACAUUUGUUUGGUAUUUCCUUUAUAUGUCUUGGGGUACACACAAAAGCUUGGAAAAAUCUCAUCCUUCUUCGUGAAUUUACUCGCACUUGCUAUCGUUGUCAAUUAGGCUUACUGGAAAUUUACGAUCACCUGAAAUAUCGCAAUUCAGAAGUUGCUUCUUCUAAUUGUACGGUUGGUAGUGGUGUCCGUCCCAGUGGUAUUCAUGAGUUAGAUGUGGGUCUUCUUCUCUGGACUGGCAGCAGUUCUUGGCAGAGGAUGGAGAAAGGAAGGACGGUCUCAUCAUGGGACUUAUGCCGCUAUUCAUUGGAUGGAGUGUUGACUGUUUGCAGACGUGGUACCAGAAACUCCAAGAGCGGCCAGUGAAUAAAAGAACAUGUAUAAAACUAUUUAGAGUGUGCCUUUGUAUAUACUUCUUUUUGAUUCCUCCCUUUAAUCCAUAGACAUGGCUCCAACUAUCAGAACUGCAAUAAGAAUAGGUUAGGUAUUUUUAGGUAUCAUCUGAAUGAGUAAAUUAAUUGUUGUACAAGAUACAUGUUUAGUCUGAAUAUGGAAGAGCCUUUGCAGUUGAUGUU